GUUUCAAGGCUGAUUCCAGGCUGAUGCACAAGUAUAUUCAAAUUCAGUUCCCAAGGUCUUGAGUCCAGAAGCAUGGUGGCGAUAGCUUAUAGAUAAUACUUUUAUAAUCUUCUGCUGUCUUUCCUAUAUUUGACUCUCCUGGGUGACCACUACAAUGGCACAGCCUAGUCAGUUCAGAUAUUAGGAUCUUUACGUUUCAAAUGUUAUUGUCCUUUCCCCUUUACUUGUAUCACUGUCAUUGAGUUACUAUUUCCUACUACAUUUCCCAUAAUUCUUCACUACAUUCAUUCCACCCAGCCAGCUCUCUUUUUCACCCUCCCUAGAAUCUGACAGGCCACAGAAAUAUCUGAUUUCAAAGAGAUGCUCGCAUUCUAUACUGAUGCCAUCUAGGAGUGUAAAUGCCCCAUGUCACACUGCUGAGUGGAGAAAGAUCCUUAUGCCCUCUGCUCUCCUCUUUGUAAAAUAA
rnacentral:lncRNA from 1 species